AGCUUUGUGCAGUGGCGGUAUCGUAGCCAAUGAGGUUUAUCCGAGGCACAAUUAUUGCUAAUUGGAAACUUUUAUUGUCAACAGGGGUUAUCUUGGUGGGGAGGUUAUGGUCUAUCUUUAUUUUUAUCUUGUAGCUCUCUGAAUUAAAAAGAAAAAAAAGUAUUACUUCUAAU
rnacentral:snRNA from 1 species